rnacentral:misc_RNA from 1 species
CCUAGCGAGCGCCUGUCCGGGCCAGAUCUUUAGGUCUGCGCCUUGGUAGGCGUAUCCACAACCCGUGUUUACAUACUCUUGUUGCUUUGGCGGGCCGUGGUUUCCCACUACGGGCUCAGCUCGUACGUGCCCGCCAGGGGACCAAACUCUGUAUAUUAGUGAUGUCUGAGAACUAUAUAAUAGUUA